UACAGAGGUCUCAAGCGUUGUUCGGAUUCAUUGGGCGUAAAGGGUGCGUAGGUGGCGUCGUAAGUCGGGUGUGAAAUCUCGGGGCUUAACUCCGAAACUGCAUUCGAUACUGCGGUGCUUGAGGACUGGAGAGGAGACUGGAAUUUACGGUGUAGCAGUGAAAUGCGUAGAGAUCAUGAGGAAGACCAGUGGCGAAGGCGGGUCUCUGGACAGUUCCUGACACUGAGGCACGAAGGCCAGGGGAGCAAACGGG
rnacentral:rRNA from 1 species